UGAGGAAUAUUGAGCAAUGGGCGAAAGCCUGACUCAGCAACGCCGCGUGGGCGAUGAAGGCCUUCGGGUCGUAAAGCCCUUUUCUGAGGGACGAGAAAGGACGGUACCUCAGGAAUAAGUCACGGCUAACUACGUGCCAGCAGCCGCGGUAAUACGUAGGUGGCCAGCGUUAUCCGGAAUCACUGGGCGUAAAGCGCGUGUAGGUGGUUCCGUAAGUCGGACGUGAAAUCUCCUGGCUUAACUGGGAGGGGCCGUUCGAUACUGCGGAUCUUGAGGUCGGGAGAGGGACGUGGAAUUCCCGGUGUAGUGGUGGAAUGCGUAGAUAUCGGGAGGAACACCAGUGGCGAAGGCGGCGUCCUGGCCCGCACCUGACACUCAGACGCGAAAGCGUGGGGAGCGAACGGG
rnacentral:rRNA from 1 species